ensembl:lncRNA
UCUCCACUUGCCGGGAAGGGUUGGGAGGAGAUAGAGAUGAGUGAAGUCACCAAGAAAGCCAGGGUAGAUAAAGGGGAAAAGAAGGUCAUGGAGAAGAGGCGGAGCUCGCAAAGGAGACCGAAAAGAAAUGUUUAGGGAGAAGAAGAAGGACCAGGAGCUGGUAUCCUGGAACCCCGGGAGGAAAAUGUUAUGCGGAGGGAGUAAUCAAGAUAGCCAUGCAUGGGCGCCACAUGCCGGGGAAGCAGACUAUACUCUACGGCAUUGUUCAUUACGACAAAGGACUGGAGAGAAGUCCCGGGUCUGUGAAGAGGGAACUGCUUAAAUAAAAAUGAACCACCGCUGGAAGAAAGAAAGAGGAUGUACUACAGGAUAUAGCGCUGCCAGGGAAAGCCGAGGACGCUCCUUCUUUGUCACCAGCAAAGACUCAUUCAGUUCAGUGACAGCCCAGCCAGUCCUACCCUGGUGGCUGGACACUCAGAGGUGAGCGGGGAGGUCUGGACCUUUGAAGAGCUCACAGCCUCCUGACAUGUAAGCAAGCUGGCUGUGACGUGGAAUGACAAGGUGCCCUCUUACAGCAUGACUGAGGGAGGCAGCGAACGCAGACGAACACCUGAGGAAGCUGUAUGAGCGUGUGUCUUGGGAAGGUGGUGAGCUCAUUAAGUAAUAGGUGGAUUUUAGAAGAUGAAUAAGACUUUACCGGGCAAAAGAAGGGGUAUUACUAUCUACAUUACAGAAGUGAAAGAGAUUAUAAAGGAAUACUAUGAAUACCUGUUUGCCAAUAAAUUAGAUAAUUGAGGUGAAAUGAACAAAUUUCUAGGAGACAAACUGCUGAAACUGACUCAAGAGGAAACAGAAAAUCUGAGUAGACCUAAAGCUCAUAAGCCGACUGAAACCAAGAGCACAGGCAGCAGAAGGAAAAAGAGAUAAAUUGGACUUUGUCAAAAUUAAGAACUUUUGUGUUGUGAAGGGCACCAUCAAAAAUGUAAACAUAUUUGCAUACCUGAUAAGGGAUUUGUAGUUAGAAUAUUUAAAGAACUCAGAUCUCAUUAAGAAAAGACAAAUAAUUAAAAAAUGGGCAAAUGAUUGACAUACACAUUUUUUCAAAGAAGAUAUACAAUUGGCUAAUAAAUACAUAAAAAGAUGUUCAACACCAUUAGCUAUCAUGGAAAUGUAAAUUAAAACCACAACAAGAACCCCCUGGCACUCAGUAGCAUGGCUAGAAUAAAAAAGUCAGGUAACAAGUGUUGGUGAGCACGUGGAGGAACUGGAACCCACAUCCACAGCUGCUGGGAGCGUGAACACGGCAGCCACUGGGAAGACAGUCUGGCAGGGCAUCAAAAGGUUAAACACGGAGUUACCAUCGGACCCAGCAGGUCCACUCCUGGGUUUAUAUCCCCCAAAUAAAAACAUACAUUCAUACAAAAACUUACACGAGUGCUCAUAGCGGUGUUAUUUGUAACGGCCCGGAAAUGGGAACAACUCCCACAUCCAUCAACUGACAAACGGAACAAAAUGUGGCACAUUCAUGUGAUAGAAUAUUUGGCAAUGCAAAGGCAUCGAGUGCUGAUACACGGGGCAGCAUGGACAAACCUUGAAAACAUGGUGGUGAGUGAAUGAACUCAGUCAUAAAAGACCAGUUAUAUGAUUCCAUUUACAUGAAAUGACCAGAAGAGGCAAAUUUAUAGAGACAAAAAGUAGACUAGUGGUUGCCUAGGGCUGGGGGGAAAGGAAGUGAAGGCUAAUGGGUGUGGGGUUUUAGGGGAGGUAAUGAAAAUAUCCUAAAAUUGAUUGUGGUGAUGGUUGUACAACUCUG